AUGGCCGUGAAGGGAGGGAAAGAGCCGCCGAAAUUGAUAAAAGAUGAGCUAAAACAGUUGUCCACUAUCCCCAAACAAAUUGAAGAGUGGAAGAGAUCAGCUGCCCAAGCUAGCGCCUUGAUGUCACUGAGUCAUGCCAAAGCUUAUUGGCCAGAGAUGGAGCCGGCUGAAAUGUCUGGCGGGUUUGCUGAGUUUAACCUUGACGGCAAUCAAUUUACUUUAGCGAACUAUGCUCGAUGCGUAAAGGAGACUCAUGUCCUGGCGAGUCAAGUAGGUGGCGAGUUGGACUUGAGAAAAUAUCAACCAACCUAUGACGAGGGGAACACAUGGGUGAAGCCGCAAACAUUUGAGCCGUUUGACAUAACUCCCACACGGCGUAAGCAUUACUUUGCUCCUGAUGUUGAUCUGUCAGUUAUCAUUCAAGACGACGCCAUUUUUCCAACAAUUAACAACCAUCGAACGGGACCUGGACAAUAUUCAGAUCAGCGAAGAAGAAGGGCCGACAUAGGAUAA
rnacentral:rRNA from 1 species